CCUGGUCUCCCUUAUGUGAAAUGGGACAAAGGAGACACCUUGGUAAGCCGUGAAGAGCCAGAGUGCAAGAGAUGUUUUAAAAUUAUAAAAUGCUCCAGAAACACAAAAUAUGGUAGUUUUUGACUAUGGCUUUUUCUAAGUUGACUUUUAAAAAUUGCUAUCAGAAAAACAGGGCUAGUUUUUUAAAGGAACUUUAUUUUAAGUAAGAUUUGGGUAAGUUUAUGGCAACUGUACAGAAUGCCAGCUGGACUCAGAGAGAAGCUUAAUAUAUCACAGAUGCCACAAAUAUCACGGCAUCAUCGAUGUGGCCUUGAAAUGUGAGACAUGUUUGUCUGCGAGCAUCUGCCUCCCCACCACUGAGUUGCUGUUUAAAGGAAUACGUCCUCCAUCUGCCCCUUCAUGUCUUAUUUACAUUUCCUGGUGUGGAAAGUUCUCAGCGAAUAAUAUGGGCCCACGGCCAGCCGCAGGUUCGGGUGGGGAGACAGAGCUGUCCACAGAACUCGCUUCGGCCCAGGAAGCUCAGACUCAGGUGGAGGAGACGGUGGAGAUGUAGGCGAGCAUAGCACAGGAGGUUUUAGAGUUGACAGCGUCCACAUGGUGUCCGGCACAGCACGGGAAGCCAUAAAUCAGUGCUCAGCCUCUACUCCUGCCCAUCACACUGCUGUGCCCACUGUGUGCCCACAUGGUGAGGUCCAAGCCACAUCAGCCCCUGUACACAGGGCCCAGGUUGAAGACAGCCUCAGAGCCCUGGCCUCAGGACGCAUCCUUCCCUCCGUGUCUGCUCUGGCUGUGGGCUGUGAUAAUGGCCGCUCCACCCUCUUCCCAUCCCUCUCACAUUCUGCCAGUAUCUCAAGAAUACGGAAACCCAGGCCAGAUUUCCUGCAGUGGAACCUAAGUCUCUCUCGAGAGAUCUGAUUUCACCAAGCCGCCACAGUUUUCUGUUGACCCAGAUUACUGGUGAGGAGAAACCAGCAGAAAGCCCGGAAAAGGACAGAUCUACAUUACUGUGUGAAUAACAUCAAUCAGCGUGGCAGCACCGGCUCCUGUCACUUAGCAUCUCACAGCUGGACUUUGGGUCCUUACCAGGGCCCACUGAUGCGCCUGAAGUAGAGAACAAUUAUCCCAGAUGACCUCAUCUCAGACCCAGCUGUGAAGCUCUUUGGGCUUCCAGGGGUUCCCGUCUUCAGUACCAAUGGGGCUGUGGAAUCUGCAGGCUCUGAACCGGCGCCACAGCUGGGCUUGCUGCUGAGCCUUAUUUUGCUCUGAGUGUAGUUUAACACUAUCAUUACCAUAGGCUGCUCAGCAGAGCAUCCAAAGCCGACUCACAUCACCCAGGUGCUGGGCAUCUUCUUGCAGGAAGGGUGAUGUACUAGGGCAACACAACCUCUAGAAACACAGGGCCAUUGACCCUGGAGACUGCAUCAGUGUGACAGAUGCACAGAACUCAAAGGAGCUUAUCACCUGCCUCCUGACAUGAGUGGAGCUUGCAAGACGUGUGGCGUGCCUGCAACAUCUGCCCCCGAAACUGCACCCUUUCUUCAACAUUGAGGACUAAGGAGGCUGCUGAUGAGAUAGUUCCUGAAUCUGAGGGAGAGGAAGGCCCCCCUGGGACCCAAAAGGGCAAAGUCACAUAGCGGGGACAUCCUUGACAGGAGCCUGGAUCUUUGGAUGAGGAGGAACUGAGCCUUCACUCAACCUAUAGGAAAGGAAUAGGGAAAAAAUAAUUGCCCAAAAGCACUGUCCCCCUCUGAUCUCCUUCCCGGAGCGUGGAAGCCAGAGGUGAAAAACUACCAGGAUGUCCUCACUAAUCAGGCUCCUGGACACCAAGCAGGCCCAAGGACAGCAGAGGUGGGGGACAAAGGAGGUCUCAGCUGUGUGUGCAGAAGUGGGGCGUGCUCUAACAAGAUAAUUAAUUUUAGUAACCAAUGUGGGGUGAGGGCAACAAGUUAAACAGCACUGUUUUGUCAGCAGAAACAUUACAACUGGCUUCAUCAUCUUGACAAACCUGCUUUCAAACUGAGAUGGCAAACUCUUAAGAACACUAUGACUUUAAAUAAGUUCUUCAUGGUAGUUUGGAAAUAGCAAGUACUAAGUUAAUUUAAAGAAUAGUAAAAAUAUAAACUAUGCAAUUAGAACUGUAAAUUACACUUUUCAAGUACAUACAGAACAUAAAAUGUUUGCCAGAGUUGACCAUGGAGCAGAAUACAAAGCAAAGGCUCAGUGGGCUGAGUCCAUCCAAAGUGUCUCCCAGGGCCAUAGUGGGAUUGAGGUAAAUAUUUAAAAUGAGAAGACAGAGCUGCAGGGGAAGAGAACAAGAAGUCAACAAGAAGCACCCCCCCCACCCCUGCUGCAAAUCAGUACCAUGUGCGGGGCGCCAGGCCACAGGAGGGGCCAGAUGCCAGCCCCUUCCAGUGCAUGUGCUGGGAAACAACAAGACCCACCCCCAACCCCACCCAUAAGCGACCAGCUGAUCCCGAGAAACACAGGCUUCAAUGCAGCUAUUGAAGUGAAUUCAACUUAAUGCUUGCAACGUUCAGUGUUUCACUGACGCUGCAGGUCAAAGCUGGUAGUCUGAUCAUCUAUUCAGGGGAUGGCAAUACCCAAGGUAGCAUCUAUGGGGCCUCCUUCUGAAGUGGUGGCCAUUGUUGAUUCCCUAUUGUCUUGUUUGGAAGUCCAGUAUCAUUUCAUUAUUUUGUUUGCUUGGGUUUUAUUUUGUUUUGUUUUGCUUGAUUGUAUUAUACCUUAUGGCAUGAGCUGUAAUUUAAAGAUGGUAAGAUAUAUUAUGGUAGCCAUUUUGGAUUUGCUAUUAUCUGUUUUGAAGUAUAAUCAUUGUUUUGUUUUUAUUGGUUGUAUUCUGUUAUGUUUUGUGUUAUUUUCACUAUGACUGAAGGUUUGGGCAACUAUUUCGAAGACAACAAGAGGCAUUACGACAACCAUUGUUGAUUUCUUAUUGUUUUGAAGUCCUGAGUCACUUACACUGAUUCUGUUUUAUUUCUUGGUUUUAUUCUCUUUAAAA